rnacentral:rRNA from 1 species
AGUGAACGCUGGCGGUAGGCCUAACACAUGCAAGUCGAACGGCCGCACAGUAAGAGCUUGCUCUUACGGGUGGCGAGUGGCGGACGGGUGAGGAAUACAUCGGAAUCUACUUUUUCGUGGGGGAUAACGUAGGGAAACUUACGCUAAUACCGCAUACGACCUACGGGUGAAAGCAGGGGAUCUUCGGACCUUGCGCGAUUGAAUGAGCCGAUGUCGGAUUAGCUAGUUGGCGGGGUAACGGCCCACCAAGGCGACGAUCCGUAGCUGGUCUGAGAGGAUGAUCAGCCACACUGGAACUGAGACACGGUCCAGACUCCUACGGGAGGCAGCAGUGGGGAAUAUUGGACAAUGGGCGCAAGCCUGAUCCAGCCAUACCGCGUGGGUGAAGAAGGCCUUCGGGUUGUAAAGCCCUUUUGUUGGGAAAGAAAAGCAGCAGGUUAAUACCCCGCUGUUCUGACGGUACCCAAAGAAUAAGCACCGGCUAACUUCGUG